rnacentral:lncRNA from 1 species
AUGAAGGAGGAAAUCUUAUGACACUUAGAUUUAAACGGUGUAUGUGUUCCUAUCCAUGUGAAUUUGUUAAAACCAAAGUUUACGACAAAUUCAAACUCAUAUGGACCGAACUUUCUUAAUCUUGAUUUCUUGCCUUAUGGUAGCACAGCUGCCCACCAUGUCUUCCAAGUAGUUAAGCAGCUCACCUUUUCUUAUCAAUGUACCUUUCAUUGAUCAAGGUCCUUGCCUUUUAUGCAUUCAAAUGAGAACUCAUAGGACUCACAUGCAUAAUUAACUCAAUUGGAACAGCACAGAAACAAAAUAAUGUCAACACGAUAGGUUGUAAACCUCAACUCGUGUGCUAGUGAUGAUUGAUAAGGUUUAUUUGAUUUGUUCUUGAAACCUUUCAAGACCAUUAAGACUCCCACUGACUCCUUGACAUAUAAGAUUCUCUUGUCAAAACAUUUCUUGACAAACAAAUAUUCAAGAGUUAGUGUAGCUUUUAUUAAAACUCUUCAUAAAUUGGUUCUAGUUGGUCUUUGUCUUAUCCAAGACAUCACAACUUUCCACAUUUGAUGAAUGUUAUAAACCUUUUUAAUACUUUUCACUCAAUGUCACAAUCUUAACUUUAAGACUUGUUUUGGAACGAAGUAUGAUUGACUUCUUGAUUUAACCAUUUCUUCAAUCCUUGAUUCCUCUUCUUAAACAUACAAUUGUACUAAGACUCACUUAGAGGAUCAAUUGAGAUAUGGUUUUUAAUCAUUAAGACCUAUCAUAAAGCAUAAAAGCUACUCUCCCUUCUUCUUAGAAUGGAGAAACUUUUAUCUUUCUGCCUACUUGAUUCUUCUUAUUCAUUCCACUUAUUGAUUUAAACUUUUUCAAUCAAUUCAGAAUUAUACUUAAUCUUAUAAAUAUAAUCAUAUUUACUAAACCUUUAGUAAACCAUGACCAAUUUCUUUGUUACUCUUAUGGGGGACUUUGAUCAACAUGCAACUUUGUGUACUUGAUCUCCUAGUCCUUCACUUGACACUUUGUCAAUGAAUUAGUCUAAUUUCCAAAUAUGAAAUUUCUCAUUCAUCAUGCAACCAAGUUGCGUGAUUCCAAAUUUCUGUCCAAUUGAAACUUGGGCGAUGAGAAACUCUCCCUAUUUGGUAAAUUCUCGACUUUCCAUAAAUAACAUNAACUACGAAGAGGAAUGUCGUAAUCAUAAUCGAAAUUUUAAGAACACACUAUGUACCUUUAACUAAAUUUAUUAACAUUUCUCAACCUAAGCCUUUAGAUUUGAAAUGAAGCAUAAUAUUCUCUCCCUUAAUUAUAGCAAAAACAACUUUUCAACUCUUACAACUUUGCAAAGUAUAACUAUUGUUUUCUAUAAUUAAUAUUGCUAACUCGCAAUACUUUCCACAAUAAUCAUGCAAUCAUAACUUUUAUGCUCCCAAUAUCAUGAUGAUUAUUAUAAACAUAACACUUAUGCUCCCACUAGCUUUGACAUGUAUUCAGAAACCAUCUUAACUUUUAGAAAAAAAACAAUACUUGUUGAAUUUCUUAAGUUCAUGUUUCUAAUACCUAAUGCUUUGAUAAUCCUUUAUCUAAGCUUAUAUACCUUUCCCUUAGACAGCUCAUAUGUGUGUCUAAACGAUUUAGACUAUUGCCAAAUCUCACAAUUCGAAUCAUGGAAAGGGAUACCGUAACCAUAAUCGAAUUCGAGAAUACAAUUUCACAAUCGCUAUCCUUUUAAAAUCUUUCUUAGUGAAAGCAUUUCCUCAUAGUUAUUUUCAUGGAGGAGGGAAUCUUAUGACACUUAGAUUUUAAUGGUGAAUGCGUUCCUAUCCAUGUGAAUUUGUCAAAACCAAGGUUCACGACAAAUUCAAACUCAUAUGGACCGAACUUUCUUAAUCUUGAUUUCUUGCCUUAUGGUAGUACAGCUUCCCACCAUGUCUUCCAAGUAGUUAAGCAGCUCACCUUUUCUUAUCAAUGUACCUUUCAUUGAUCAAGGUCCUUGCCUUUUAUGCAGUCAAAUGAGAACUCAUAGGACUCACAUGCAUAAUUAACUCAACUGGAACAGCACAGAAACAAAAUAAUGUCAACACGAUAGGUUGUAAACCUCAACUCGUGUGCUAGUGAUGAUCGAUAAGGUCUAUUUUGAUUUGUUCUUGAAACCUUUCAAGACCAUUAAGACUCCCACUGACUCCUUGACAUAUAAGAUUCUCUUGUCAAUAAACAUUUCUUGACAAACAAAUAUUCAAGAGUUAGUGUAGCUUUUAUCAAAACACUUCAUAAAUUGGUCCUAGUUGGUCUUUGUCUUAUCCAAGACAUCACAACUUUCCACAUUUGAUG